AUGCCCUACGAUCCCCACCGAAUGAGGAAGGACGCUAGAGGUUACAGGACUGGUCCCCGACCGCUCAGCCAGAAACAGGCUUUGAACCCUGCUGAACUCCGGUGGCACAGGCUGCACAAGGCUUGCGUCUCCCUGGAAGGGCCACUCCUCUCUGGUCAGCGAAAUCUCCUCCCCGCCCAGGAAUCUGGACGGCCCCUGCCAUUUGCCUGGUUGUUCCCCUACCCGAGUGCCCUCGAUUUUCCCCUCUGGUCGGGGCAGGAGCGGCAGGGCUGGAUGCCAGGGCCCCAGGGGCAGGGAGGUGAGUGGGCACCACUCCUUCCCCCACGGGUAAGGUGGACAUCCAGCUUCGGACCACAUCACAGACGCCCAGGCCCCCAGCCACAGCCGGGAUCACUCAGCUGGGUAACGUCUCCACUUCCCAGCUGGGCCAGAACUUUUCCAUGCUGCCAGGACUUGCAAGAAAACAGCUGUCUGGCUGUCACAUUCUCGAGCCUGGACGAGGCCAUCUAUUACUGGAGUUUUAAGCUGCUUUGUGAACCACAGGACAGCUGGCUGCUUGGCUGUGCACUGUCCAUGAGCCCUGGUGGGGUUGUGAUUAUUGCUGGUAGGAGGCCGGGGACGAGGCCAGAAGCCUGGAGGCCGUGUGAGGAUCACGCCUCGUGAGUCAGGAAGAUGCCCCUGAGAAGUUGGCCCACCUGGUUCUCUGCAGUCUCUGGGGUACCUGCCCCCUGACCUUCAGCCAGGUCCUGCCUCUCGUAUGUCCACUCAGGUGAGAAACCUGUCUAUAACCAUGUUUGUCUAGGACCAAACUUCGUCGUACACACAAAUGUGCACUGCACAAUUUUACUCCACCCUUUACCAGGAAUGCAAGGAUUUUGCCGAUGGAGGGGAGACUGCAUUGUGUUCAGAACAGAGGUCUUCACACUUUGGAAAACCACAUCCCCAGUGGCCAAGUGGUGUCAGGUAGGUGAGUGCUCCAGGCGCCGCCCUGGGGCUGGGUGCCGCUGUUUGCUGUCAUGCCCACUGUGGGCCACUGUGGCAAGUAGAUGACAGGCCUGUUCUCUUCCCCGGGGCAGCAUGGAAAACCCAUUAUUUUAUAUUUAUGUUUAUUCAUUUCUGAUCAGCUGCAUAUUUCAGUUGGGGCAUUAUUGAAAAAGGUGUUUUGUAGGUUUUCAUGCAUUUCAUUUCAGGAUAGCAAUCGGCAUAUAAAAUUAUGUGCUGUAAAGAAGGAGGUUGAUCUGUCGGGUUGAACACUACCAGCAGGGCAGAUGCACCCUUGGGGCUGGUUGAAUGCUUUAAAAAAAAUUUUUUUAGCUCAGCCACUGGUUUUUUUUUACAGCUUUAUUGAGGUAUAAUUAAUAUAUUGAAAUCUGGCCAGAUACAGUGACUCAUGCCUGUAAUCCCAGCACUUUGAGAGGCCAAGGUGGGUGGAUCAUUUGAGAUCAAGAGUUUGAAAACAGCCUGACCAACAUGGCAAAACCCCAUCUCUUCAAAAAAUACAAAAAUUAGCCGGGUGUGAUGGCACACACCUGUGAUCCCAGCUACUUGGGAAGUUGAGGUAUGAGAAUCGCUUGAACCUGGGAAGUGGAGGUUGCAGUGAGCCAAGAUCAUGCUACUGUACUCCAGCCUGGGCAACAGAGCAAGACCCUGUCUUAAAAAAAAAAACUGCACAUAUUUAAUGCAUAAUUUGGUAAGUU
ensembl:lncRNA